rnacentral:rRNA from 1 species
GAUGAACGUUGGCGGUGUGCCUAAUACAUGCAAGUCGAACGGUGACGAUUUUGUAGCAAUACGAAUGAAAUCAUAGUGGCGAACGGGUGAGUAACGCGUUGGUGAUCUGCCUCGAAGUGUGGAAUAACUUCCCGAAAGGGUAGCUAAUACCGCAUAGUCUCUCAGGGUUUAGAAAACUGAGAGUAAAGGAUUUAUUAGCUUCGAGAGGAGCCUGCGUCGCAUCAGCUAGGUGGUAGGGUAAUAGCCUACCAAGGCAAUGACGGGUAGGGGACCGGAGAGGGUGGCCCCCCACAAUGGAACUGAAACACGGUCCAUACACCUACGGGUGGCAGCAGUAGGGAAUAUUAGAAAUGGGCGAAAGCCUGAUCUAGCAACACCGCGUGUGCGAUGAAGGCCUUCGGGUUGUAAAGCACUUUUUGGAGGGAAUAGGAAGGAAGGUACCUCCAGAAUAAGUCUCGGCUAACUACGUGCCAGCAGCCGCAGUAAGAC